CUCAGCUCGACAAUUUGAUGUAAAAUCUCACGGUUCUUAGCUUGCAAGCUGGAUAUCAAGUGGCAGAUGUUUCUGCUAAAAAACAGCGAGAUAUCCCCGACAGCUAUUUUAAAAGCUUCAAAGACGACCGUUAUCUGGGAAAGUCUCAUGCAAAAAUGAUUGGUUUGCCUCUGCAGGAGAUGAUGGCCUGGUGUUGGUGUGGAACGUUGAGAUGCACAAUCGAGAGCAUCCUGUCGGGCUGUAUCACCGCCUGGUACGGCAACUGCUCCGCCAACAACCGUAAGGCUCUCCAGAGGGUAGUGAGGUCUGCACAACGCAUCACCGGGGGCAAACUACCUGCCCUCCAGGACACCUACACCACCCGAUGUCACAGGAAGGCCAAAAAGUUUAUCAAGGACAACAACCUCCCGAGCCACUGCCUGUUCACCCCGCUAUCAUCCAGAAGGCAAGGUCAGUACUGGUGCAUCAGGGACUGAAAAACAGCUUCUAUCUCAAGGCCAUCAGACUGUUAAACAGCCAUCACUAACAUUGAGUGGCUGCUGCCAACAUAUUGACUCAACUCCAGCCACUUUAAUAAUGGAAAAAUUGAUGUAAUCAAUUUAUCACUAGCCACUUUAUAUUAUAUAAUGUUUACAUACCCUACAUUACUCAUCUCAUAUGUAUAUACUGUACGCCAUACCAUCCACUGCAUCUUGCCAUCUUGAUGUAAUUAAAUGUAUCACUAGCCACUUUAAACAAUGCCACUUUAUGUAAUGUUUUCAUACCCUACAUUACUCAUCUCAUAUGUAUAUACUGUACGCUAUACCAUCUACUGCAUCUUGCCUCUGCCGUUCGGCCAUCACUCAUGUAUUUUUAUGUACAUAUUCGUAUUCAUUCCUUUACACUUGUGUGUAUAAAGUAGUUGUUGUGGAAUUGUUAGGUUAUAUGAC
ensembl:lncRNA